rnacentral:rRNA from 1 species
UACGUAGGGGGCAAGCGUUAUCCGGAUUUACUGGGUGUAAAGGGAGCGUAGACGGCCAUUCAAGCCAGAUGUGAAAGCCCGGGGCUCAACCCCGGGACUGCAUUUGGAACUGUAUGGCUGGAGUGUCGGAGAGGCAGGCGGAAUUCCUAGUGUAGCGGUGAAAUGCGUAGAUAUUAGGAGGAACACCAGUGGCGAAGGCGGCCUGCUGGACGAUGACUAACGUUGAGGCUCGAAAGCGUGGGGAGCAAACAGG